GGGUUGUGAGGUUAAGCGACUAAGCGUACACGGUGGAUGCCCUGGCAGUCAGAGGCGAUGAAGGGCGUGCUAAUCUGCGAUAAGCGCCGGUAAGGUGAUAUGAACCGUUAUAACCGGCGAUACCCGAAUGGGGAAACCCAGUGUGAUUCGUCACACUAUCAUUAACUGAAUCCAUAGGUUAAUGAGGCGAACCGGGGGAACUGAAACAUCUAAGUACCCCGAGGAAAAGAAAUCAACCGAGAUUCCCCCAGUAGCGGCGAGCGAACGGGGAGGAGCCCAGAGCCUGAAUCAGCAUGUGUGUUAGUGGAAGCGUCUGGAAAGGCGCGCGAUACAGGGUGACAGCCCCGUACACAAAAGCGCAUGUGCUGUGAGCUCGAUGAGUAGGGCGGGACACGUGGUAUCCUGUCUGAAUAUGGGGGGACCAUCCUCCAAGGCUAAAUACUCCUGACUGACCGAUAGUGAACCAGUACCGUGAGGGAAAGGCGAAAAGAACCCCGGCGAGGGGAGUGAAAAAGAACCUGAAACCGUGUACGUACAAGCAGUGGGAGCCCCACCACUAAGCCAGUGGUGAACUCCACAUACGCAUCCUUUGCUGAGGAUACGGUUAACGGAGCGAAAGCGACGUUCAACCGCAAAAGAAGCAGAGGGGGCUUAGUGGUGGGGUGACUGCGUACCUUUUGUAUAAUGGGUCAGCGACUUAUAUUCUGUAGCAAGGUUAACCGUAUAGGGGAGCCGCAGGGAAACCGAGUCUUAACCGGGCGUUAAGUUGCAGGGUAUAGACCCGAAACCCGGUGAUCUAGCCAUGGGCAGGUUGAAGGUUGGGUAACACUAACUGGAGGACCGAACCGACUAAUGUUGAAAAA
rnacentral:rRNA from 1 species